rnacentral:tRNA from 1 species
GAGAAAGAAGCAUAAGAAUAGGAUGUGCAGCUAGCUUGAAACUAGCGGGAGGGGGUUCAAGUCCCUCAUUUCUUG